AAAAGCGGAGGAAAAGAAACCAACAGGGAUUGCCUUAGUAACGGCGAGUGAAGCGGCAAGAGCUCAAAUUUGAAAUCUAGCACUUUCAGUGUUCGAGUUGUAAUUUGAAGAAGGUAUCUUUGGAGUUGGCCCCUGUCUAUGUUCCUUGGAACAGGACGUCACAGAGGGUGAGAAUCCCGUGCGAUGGGGAGACCAAUUCUUUGUAAAGUUCCUUCGAAGAGUCGAGUUGUUUGGGAAUGCAGCUCUAAGUGGGUGGUAAAUUCCAUCUAAAGCUAAAUAUUGGCGAGAGACCGAUAGCGAACAAGUACAGUGAUGGAAAGAUGAAAAGAACUUUGAAAAGAGAGUGAAAAAGUACGUGAAAUUGUUGAAAGGGAAGGGCUUUUGAUCAGACUUGGUGUUUAACGAUCUCUUCUCCUUGUGGGAGGGGCUCUUGUUUUAUACUGGGCCAGCAUCGGUUUGGAUGGCAGGAUAAUGACAUUGGAACGUGGCUUCAUUCGUGAAGUGUUAUAGCCUUUGUUGAUACUGCCUAUCUAGACCGAGGACUGCGUCUUGACUAGGAUGCUGCGUGUCGUGCAGUG
rnacentral:rRNA from 2 species